GGAAUUUGGCACCUAACACAUUUGCAUCUAGAAGUGUGGAAUGAACUAUGCCAUAAAGAGUUCAAUGACCUGAACAAUCCAUCAGCAACCCAUGAGCCAGCAGAACAAAAGAUGACAGAACUGGAGCUGGCAGAGCAAGGAAUGAGAAAGAACAGAUCAGUGUUCAGUUUGAAAGAGCCAUAAUUCAGCAGUCUUUCUAUAUUACCUCUCAGAGGAAGGAGCCUGUGUGUCUAAAGAGAGAAGUGAAGUUUAA